rnacentral:rRNA from 1 species
AUUGAACGCUGGCGGCAGGCCUAACACAUGCAAGUCGAGCGAGCGGCGGACGGGUGAGUCAUGUCUGGGAAACUGCCUGAUGGAAGGCGAUAACUACUGGAAACGGUAGCUAAUACCGCAUACCAUCAGAUGUGCCCAGAUGGGAUUAGCUAGUAGGUGGGGUAAUGGCUCACCUAGGCUACGAUCCCUAGCUGGUCUCAGAGGAUGACCAGCCACAUUGGAACUGAGACACGGUCCAGACUCCUACGGGAGGCAGCAGUGGUGAAUAUUGCACAAGGGGCGCAAGCCUGAUGCAGCCAUGCCGCGUGUGUGAAGAAGGCCUUCGGGUUGUAAAGCACUGUAAGCGGGUAGGCGUUACCCGCAGAAGAAGCACCGGCUAACUCCGUGCCAGCAGCCGCGGUAAUUC